rnacentral:rRNA from 1 species
GACGAACGCUGGCGGCGUGCUUAACACAUGCAAGUCGAACGGAAAGGCCUCUUUCGGGGGGUACUCGAGUGGCGAACGGGUGAGUAACACGUGAGUAACCUGCCCUUGACUUUGGGAUAACUUCAGGAAACUGGGGCUAAUACCGGAUAGGAGCUCCUGCUGCAUGGUGGGGGUUGGAAAGUUUCGGCGGUUGGGGAUGGACUCGCGGCUUAUCAGCUUGUUGGUGGGGUAGUGGCUUACCAAGGCGUUGACGGGUAGCCGGCCUGAGAGGGUGACCGGCCACAUUGGGACUGAGAUACGGCCCAGACUCCUACGGGAGGCAGCAGUGGGGAAUAUUGCACAAUGGGUGGAAGCCUGAUGCAGCAACGCCGUGUGCGGGAUGACGGUCUUCGGGUUGUAAACCGCUUUCGCUCAUGACGAAGCUUUGUGUGACGGUAGUGGGUAAAGAAGCACCGGCUAACUACGUG